UACGUAGGGGGCAAGCGUUGUCCGGAAUCAUUGGGCGUAAAGAGCGCGUAGGCGGUCCGGUAAGUCAGCUGUGAAAGUCAAGGGCUCAACCCUUGAAAGCCGGUUGAUACUGUCGGGCUAGAGUCCGGAAGAGGCGAGUGGAAUUCCCGGUGUAGCGGUGAAAUGCGCAGAUAUCAGGAGGAACACCGGUGGCGAAGGCGGGUCUCUGGGCCGUAACUGACGCUGAGGAGCGAAAGCGUGGGGAGCGAACAGG
rnacentral:rRNA from 1 species